GGAUGCGUUGACCAAACUGCCAAGAACGUAGCACAACGGCUCGAAAUCGUGGCCAAACCGCUGCCAAGUUCGGUAGGCGAACCGUCGCCGAAGCCAAGCCGAAUACUGCCGCCGAUUAACUGGCAAGGAAAAAAUCAAGUCACCGCUAGUACUGUGAACCGAAAGGCACCACUUGUAGAUAUCAGAAACCUUAUGGAACCACAGUACCGAAAAAGCGUUGAGGAUUCUGUAGAAACCCAGAGCGUUGGCGUUGCUUGUUUUACGCAUAAUCAAACUGAAGAUAAAGAAAAUUUCUCUGAACUGUUGCUUUGUUUGUUUGUUUUCUGAGCCUGUUAAUUUACGUAAACCGUUCGAUUAUAGACCAUUAGACAUGGAUACAAUUGUUUAAGGGAA